AAGCAAGAUGACCCGCCGAAUUAAGCAUAA
rnacentral:rRNA from 1 species